AUUGAACGCUGGCGGCAGGCCUAACACAUGCAAGUCGAACGAGCGGCGGACGGGUGAGUAAUGAAUGGGAAACUGCCCGAUGGAUGGGGAUAACUACUGGACACGGUAGCUAAUACCGCAUACCAUCGCCUGGGCCCAGAUGGGAUUAGCUAGUAGGUGGGGUAACGGCUCGCCUAGGCGACGAUCCCUAGCUGGUCUGAGAGGAUGACCAGCCACACUGGAACUGAGACACGGUCCAGACUCCUACGUGAGGCAGCAGUGGGGAAUAUUGCACAAUGGGCGAAAGCCUGAUGCAGCCAUGCCGCGUGUAUGAAGAAGGCCUUCGGGUUGUAAAGUACUUUCAGUGAGGAGGCGUUACUCGCAGAAGAAGCACCGGCUAACUCCGUGCCAGCAGCCGCGGUAAUUC
rnacentral:rRNA from 1 species